UUCAUUUUUUGGCUCAUAAACUUGACAAUUUGGCAUUCACACCAUUGUGUGAGAUAUCUCUCUAUCAAAUCUUUUUACAGUAUCUAUUCAUUACUCACCUGAUA